UGUAUAAUGGGUCAGCGACUUAUAUUCUGUAGCAAGGUUAACCGAAUAGGGGAGCCGAAGGGAAACCGAGUCUUAACUGGGCGUUAAGUUGCAGGGUAUAGACCCGAAACCCGGUGAUCUAGCCAUGGGCAGGUUGAAGGUUGGGUAACACUAACUGGAGGACCGAACCGACUAAUGUUGAAAAAUUAGCGGAUGACUUGUGGCUGGGGGUGAAAGGCCAAUCAAACCGGGAGAUAGCUGGUUCUCCCCGAAAGCUAUUUAGGUAGCGCCUCGUGAAUUCAUCUCCGGGGGUAGAGCACUGUUUCGGCAAGGGGGUCAUCCCGACUUACCAACCCGAUGCAAACUGCGAAUACCGGAGAAUGUUAUCACGGGAGACACACGGCGGGUGCUAACGUCCGUCGUGAAGAGGGAAACAACCCAGACCGCCAGCUAAGGUCCCAAAGUCAUGGUUAAGUGGGAAACGAUGUGGGAAGGCCCAGACAGCCAGGAUGUUGGCUUAGAAGCAGCCAUCAUUUAAAGAAAGCGUAAUAGCUCACUGGUCGAGUCGGCCUGCGCGGAAGAUGUAACGGGG
rnacentral:rRNA from 1 species